AAAAACAAAAAAACAUGCACAUUUGUACACGAUUGGGAUACAACAAGGUCUCUCUUGUGCGGAAUAAACAGUGCAACAUUUGAACAGACCUGAAUCAUUUCAGUGGUCGCCCAUGCCCAGUUAUCUGUUCUUCAAAGGCUUCCACUGUCCCCUAGCUCCUCCCUCUCUGUACCGUGUGACAACAACAACUCAUCCACAGAGCGGAGCUGCACUUUUCAGCUCAUUUUCCUCCUGUCAUUCCUCCUCCUAUCUUUGAUCAUUGUCCCGCCGCUCAGCCCCCCCAAAACCCUCACCCAGCACGCCUUUUUUCGGCAGCUCUUUUUACUUCCCAACUUAUCUGAGGAGCUAAACUCUCGUGGAUUCUUUCAUUUAGGGGUGUCUCGGCAGGCUGGGUUUUAUACUUUGAACUUCGGCUACUCUCUUCCCCUCCUGUAGGUGACCAUGGCCGUACCGGCUGCUCUGAUCCCACCAACUCCUUUGGUCCCACCGCCUCCGAUCUCGACUGCCUCCGCGACGACGUCCCCGCCGUCGACAACUUCAUCGCCGUCUCCAUCCUUGGCCCCCCCAUCCGGACCCGGACAGAACCUGUUCAGAUCAGAGCUCCUCGCCACCGGCAGCCCGGGCAUCCCGAACGCGGCUCUUCCCCCCAGCAAACCCGUGUACUCGACCCCGUCGCCUGUUGAAAACAUACCGCAAAACAAUGAGUGCAAGAUGGUCGAGUUGCGCGGUGCCAAAGUGGCUUCUUUCACCGUGGACGGCUGCGAGCUCAUCUGCCUUCCUCAGGCGUUCGACCUGUUCCUGAAGCACCUGGUCGGCGGACUGCACACGGUCUACACCAAGCUGAAGCGGCUGGAGAUCACGCCGGUGGUGUGCAAUGUGGAGCAGGUCCGCAUCCUCAGAGGGCUCGGCGCCAUCCAACCCGGGGUAAACCGCUGUAAACUCAUCUCCAGAAAAGACUUCGAGACUCUGUACAACGACUGCACCAAUGCGAGCUCCAGACCUGGCCGGCCUCCGAAGAGGACCCAGAGUGUGACAUCACCAGAGAACCCCCACAUCAUGCCCCACUCAGUCCCUGGCCUCAUGUCCCCUGGCAUGAUCCCACCCACAGGCCUGACAGCAGCAGCGGCAGCAGCUGCCAACGCAGCCAUCGCAGAGGCCAUGAAGGUCAAGAAGAUCAAGCUAGAGGCGAUGAGCAGCUACCACAGCAACGCCAACCACCAUGGGGCCGAUGGAGAGAAUGGAGACCUCAGCUCCAGCGUCGGCCUGGAACUCCCCUUCAUGAUGAUGCCACACCCCCUGAUCCCAGUCAGCCUGCCCCCAGCCUCUGUCACCAUGGCGAUGAGCCAGAUGAACCACCUCAGCACCAUUGCAAACAUGGCCGCUGCAGCACAGGGCCAGAGUCUGCCCUCCAGAAUGGUCACCUCUGUUAUAAAGUCACUGCUGGGGUUUCAGGAACGUGUGCCGGACAGUCCUUCCCCUGCUCCCUCCUUAGAAGACAACAGGAGGCCCGGCAGUCACCCGUCGUCCCACCGCAGCAGCAGUGUGUCCAGCUCCCCAGCCCACACAGAAAGCUCGUCAGACAGGAUACGUACGUCUCUUUAUAAGAGAACACAGAUAAAUGCGGCACACCACAAUGGCCUGUCCAUGAACCAUGCCCUGCUAGGCCUGUCCCCCAACAUCCCGCCUGGGCCUAAAGAGGGAGACCUGGCCCACGACAUGAGCCAUGAAGUAAAGAGGAUGCACACUGACAAAGAGGACAACUCAAUGUGCACCCCAACAGCGAGAGAUACCUACGAGAGGUUGUCACUGGCUGGACAGGCCCUUCCUCCUGGCUUCCCCUCACCAUUUCUCUUCCCGGAUGGUUUGUCGUCAAUAGAGACUCUCCUCACCAACAUACAGGGCCUACUCAAGGUGGCAAUUGACAACGCACGGGCUCAGGAGAAGCAGGUGCAGCUGGAGAAGACAGAGCUGAAGAUGGAGCUGUUCAGAGAGAGAGAGCUCAGGGAGACUCUGGAGAAACAGCUCGCCAUGGAGCAGAAGAACAGAGCAAUCAUUCAGAAGCGUCUGAAGAAGGAGAAGAAGGCCAAGAGGAAACUCCAAGAAGCUCUGGAGUACGAAUCCAAGAGGAGAGAGCAGGCUGAGCAGACCCUGAAGCAGCCCUCACCCUCUGACAGCAUGCGUUCGCUCAACGGUCAGACGCUCCACAGUGAGACACGCUUACUGUACCUUUCACUUCCAACACAUACUCUCUGACCCCUGAGAUGGAGAGUGACCGCAGCAGUGGAAGAACAGAUGCUGAAAGGACAAUACAAGAUGGAAGACUGUUCCUGAAAACCACAGUGAUGUACUGAUAAGGCCGUGAGGAGCUGGAGGAAAUAAAAAUUUCAGAAAAAAGGAAGAAAAAAAAGAAAGAAAAGAAAAGAAAACCCAUGAAGAUUCUCAAGAGCCCUUAUCCAGGCUGUUUUAGUAGAGGAAAGAAGUCAAGCUGCUUGUAGGAGUUCAGUGGAAAUGCUGUGUUCACCCAAAUGCUGGAGGAGGUUGUGUCUGAAUGUAGAAUAAGAAGUCUUUUUCUCUCAGAGGCCAACAUUAAAUAGUUUGCUAAAGCAGGUUUUGACUUAGCGGGUUGGCCAACGUGAAGGAUAAACAUAUAUAUUGAGCACAGUAAAAAUGUACCCAUGGUACACUGUUGGUAAUAACUCGUAAAUUCUCAGCACUGAAGAUUUUUAUACUGUAUCUCAGCCAGCGAGAAAGCUUCGAAAAAGAAAUUCCACUGAAGUUUUGUUUUUGUAUUUCAAAUUGAAUUUUGAGAAGCUAAAAAAUGACACGUGGAGAUGAACCUUGUGAAAAAAAGAAAUGUGAAUCUACCCAUGUGCUCAUCAAAAGAGAAGACUGAUGUUUGAUUUUCAUGUUUUCUAAAUUAGAUGAGAAUACAAUCAAGUUUCCUUUUUACCAUUUCUGUAUAUACAAGAUCUGAUGAUAAUGAUAGGAAAACUCCCUCUAUCGAACCCGAGUGGAUUGAUAAGGUAUGUGUAUAUAACGUUAAGAGGUAUUGUGUAUGCAGUAGAGCUAUUAGGCAAACAAUACCACCAUUUAUAUAAACCUACAGUUUUGUUUUGUUCUAUUUCUGAGCCAUCAUUCUUUCCUAUAGCUGCCAUUUUGGUGAGAAAGCAUGCAGGCAUGUAAAUGUUUGUCCUGGAAUUAUGAUAUUUAAUAAAUCCUAUAUUGUGCUGAACAAAUACUAGGGUUGACUCACUUAAGCCCAGAUGAUUUUGAAAACAUAAUUAUCAAACAUUUCACAUUCAAAAUGAAGACUUUUGCUGUCAAUAGUACUGUAAUCUUUGUAACAGAGGUAAUAUUUCUUGGGAUUUACUGUACAUUUUUGUCAUGAGACACACUCAGAAUCAGCACCUGUCAAUGCUUUUUUAAAAGAAAACGAUCCAAAAUAACUAUCAAAUUAUCAAGUGUGAGCUUGAGAAACAGUUAUGACACAACUUUUCGAAACUGAAUGCCAUUUAUUUACAUUGUUCAAAUCCCUGGUGAACUUACACAAACAUACUUUUCUUUUUUUUUUAAGAGUGUUUCGUAAUAUCCUGAUGAGAAGAAAAAAAAACUCAUUUUAAGUUAAAAAUAUUCCUGUUGCUUUCCCAGAAGACUUUCGGAUUUCGGUGCUGAGACACCUGUGUAUAUUCCCUAGACAUAAGCUGAUGUCAGUCCUUUAACUGCAAAACAGUUUAGACCUUAUGUGUUACAAUCAGGAGGAGGAGUGUCCCAGGUCCACAAUGUGUUUGUUCUUUUUGUUCUCAAUGGAGUGUCUAGGUCUGUCGUCACUGAUAACUUAUAUAGCUUCUCGAAUCAUCUCUUCAUUGUACUUCAAAUUCAAAUAAAGUUAACAUGUUGAUGAUAAAA